rnacentral:rRNA from 1 species
AGUUUGACUCCGUGGCUCAGGACGAACGCUGGCGGCGUGCUUAACACAUGCAAGUCGAACGGUAAGGCCCUUCGGGGUACACGAGUGGCGAACGGGUGAGUAACACGUGGGUGAUCUGCCCUGCACUUCGGGAUAAGCCUGGGAAACUGGGUCUAAUACCGGAUAGGACCAUGGACUUCACGGUUUGUGGUGGAAAGCUUUUGCGGUGUGGGAUGGGCCCGCGGCCUAUCAGCUUGUUGGUGGGGUAAUGGCCUACCAAGGCGACGACGGGUAGCCGGCCUGAGAGGGUGUCCGGCCACACUGGGACUGAGAUACGGCCCAGACUCCUACGGGAGGCAGCAGUGGGGAAUAUUGCACAAUGGGCGCAAGCCUGGUGCAGCGACGCCGCGUGAGGGAUGACGGCCUUCGGGUUGUAAACCUCUUUCAAUAGGGACGAAGCGCAAGUGACGGUACCUAUAGAAGAAGCACCGGCCAACUACGUG